rnacentral:rRNA from 1 species
UGGGGAGUAUUGGACAAUGGGGGCAACCCUGAUCCAGCAAUGCCGCGUGGGUGAUGAAGGCCUUCGGGUUGUAAAGCCCUUUCGGCGGGGACGAUGAUGACGGUACCCGCAGAAGAAGCCCCGGCUAACUUCGUGCCAGCAGCCGCGGUAAUACGAAGGGGGCUAGCGUUGUUCGGAAUGACUGGGCGUAAAGGGCGCGUAGGCGGCAUGACAAGUCACUUGUGAAAUCUCUGGGCUUAACCCAGAACGGCCAAGUGAUACUGUCGCGCUAGAGUGCAGAAGGGGCAAUCGGAAUUCUUGGUGUAGCGGUGAAAUGCGUAGAUAUCAAGAGGAACACCUGAGGUGAAGACGGGUUGCUGGGCUGACACUGACGCUGAGGCGCGAAAGCCAGGGGAGCAAACGGGAUUAGAUACCCGUGUAGUCCCUGAGCGGGCUGGCAAGGCGCAU